rnacentral:rRNA from 1 species
UACGUAGGUGGCAAGCGUUGUCCGGAUUUAUUGGGUUUAAAGGGUGCGUAGGCGGUCUAUUAAGUCAGUGCUGAAAUAUCCCGGCUUAACCGGGAGGGUGGCAUUGAUACUGAUGGACUUGAGUAAAGUUGAGGUUGGCGGAAUUGACGGUGUAGCGGUGAAAUGCGUAGAUAUCUGGAGGAACACCGGUGGCGAAGGCGGCAUCCUGGACCGGUAUUGACGCUGAGGCGCGAAAGCUAGGGGAGCAAACGGG